GAAAUAUUCUUUUUAAGCUGCUAACUUAAUUUUUAGUGAUUAAUAUCAUUAAUAUUUCU
rnacentral:tRNA from 1 species